AACAAAAGUUAUGUCUCAGGAAAACGAUGUGUACAGAGAUGGAUCUGAAGACCGCACAGACUGUGGAACCGGGGUCGGCUGUCCCAGCUUGCAUCUCCACUUGGAAGCCUCCUAUUAAUAAGGGGACCUGGUUCUUCCCACCAGAAUCUGUGGGAGGUGUUCGUCAUCGGUGCCCCGCCCACUCUACACACGAGGAUCUGAGGGUUCCAGACUCCCAAACACACGUGCUAACAUGACGAAGCUGCAGCCUGGGAAGCAGGUUUGUAGACAAUCCAACUCGGAGCCCAACAACCAAGAUUUAACUAAGCAAGUCCUCUUCCAACCAAAAAAAAAAAAAAAAAGUUGAUUUCUUCUGAGUCUUAAAUUUUUUUUAAAGUCGUCACAAAAGUAAGUCAGCUGUUCUUUGAGAGAAUAGCAGUCCUUGUCCAGUUGCUAUUCCCCUUGGUGAGUAUUACUGCUGUGUUGCUCUGAGGCUUUCUUCCCAAGUCCACGGUGAACAAGAGGCAGACCUUCUCCGUCCUCGUCCACAUGCUACACAACUGCACACUGGAGGAGCCCAGUAAGCGCCAAAGGCAAGUCAGGUUGGUCUUUGCUUUCUUGGCUCUAGCAUGUUUUGAAUACACUCUUAUAUAAGGGGAUGGUUGACUACAAGGAGUGAGUUCAUGUGUGAUGGCCAGGCUGCUCUUCACAGCUCUUUA
rnacentral:lncRNA from 1 species